UACGGGGGGGGUAAGCGUUGUUCGGAAUUACUGGGCGUAAAGGGCUCGUAGGCGGCCAACUAAGUCGGACGUGAAAUCCCUCAGCUUAACUGGGGAACUGCGUCCGAUACUGGAUGGCUUGGAUUUGGGAGAGGGAUGCGGAAUUCCAGGUGUAGCGGUGAAAUGCGUAGAUAUCAGGAGGAACACCGAUGGCGAAGGCAGGUCUCUGGGCUGACACUGACGCUCAUGCACGAAAGCGUGGGGAGCAAACAGG
rnacentral:rRNA from 1 species